rnacentral:rRNA from 1 species
AGAGUUUGAUCCUGGCUCAGGAUGAACGCUAGCUACAGGCUUAACACAUGCAAGUCGAGGGGAAACGGAACAUCGAAAGCUUGCUUUUGAUGGGCGGUCGACCGGCGCACGGGUGGAGUAACGCGUAUCCAACCCUGCCCACCCACUUCGGGGAGUUAACCGUUGCGAAAGUAAAGACUAAUACCCAAUCGACGUCUCUAGAAGACAUCUGAAGGAGAAUUAAGUAUUAGUACGGUGAUGGAUGGGGAUGCGUCUG